rnacentral:misc_RNA from 1 species
GUCCAAUACUGUCCGUUUCAACUUGCUGGAUUCUGAGAACCUCCAAUUCUCAUAACAUCUAAGUAUGAUUUCUUAUCAAGUUUACGAGCAAAUAAACCUUUGAAAUAAUCUAUAGCUCCAAUAUUUCUGAACUUUGCUGGAUUUUCAGAAGAAAUGAUACUCGGAGCAGGACCAAUUUGUCCAUCAAGUUUUGUGCUGUAAAAUGUUGCAAUUGAGAGUCUUUCCUUUUCGCUGUUAACCACUGCUCUGUGCUCAAUGCUACGGUAGGCUCCAUUUGUCACUAUCUCCA